rnacentral:rRNA from 1 species
AGCUCAAAGUUGGAACCUGGCUGUCUUAGAUAGUCCGGAUUGUAAACUAAAGAGCGUGAAUCCAGGCAAGCCGGUUGAUCAAGUCCUUUGGAAUGAGGCGCCACUGAGGGUGAGAGCCCCGUAAAUCGACUGAGCAUUUGUCUUUUGUGUUUCGCGUUCAAAGAGUCAGGUUGUUUGGGAAUGCAGCCUAAAGCUGGUGGUAAAUCCCACCUAAAGCUAAAUACAGGCGAGAGACCGAUAGCGAACAAGUACCGUGAGGGAAAGAUGAAAAGUACUUUGAAAAGAGAGUUAAACAGUAUGUGAAAUUGCCAAGAGGGAAGCAUUUGGAGUUAGACUGACUUGAAGUUAAUCAGCUUGGUCUUUGGACUGGGUGUACUUGACUUCUAUGUCUGCCAAUAGCAGUUAGUCCUGGUGGAAAAAACUGAAGGGAAGGUAGUCCUUCGGGAUGUUUAUAGACCUUUGGAAAAUACACUGGGAUUGACUGAGGAAUGCAGUAGAUGCUAUUAAGGCUUCGUCUAGUAGGUGUUAGGUGAAGGUACUUGGUAUUUUCAGCUUGCUGAUGUGCUAGGUUACUUGAGCUUAAUUGC